rnacentral:rRNA from 1 species
UACAGAGUCUCAAGCGUUGUUCGGAUUCAUUGGGCGUAAAGGGUGUGUAGGUGGCGCGCUAAGUCGGGUGUGAAAUUUCGGAGCUUAACUCCGAAACUGCAUUCGAUACUGGCGUGCUUGAGGACUGGAGAGGAGACUGGAAUUCAUGGUGUAGCAGUGAAAUGCGUAGAGAUCAUGAGGAAGACCAGUGGCGAAGGCGGGUCUCUGGACAGUUCCUGACACUGAGACACGAAGGCCAGGGGAGCAAACGGG